rnacentral:lncRNA from 1 species
UCUCCAGCCCCAGUCCAAGCCUGUCUUCACAGCAGUAUCAGCCACUGCAUGCAUGAAGAUGGUGGCCAUGGGCAUGGGAGCAGGGAUACACAUCUCUCUUCCAAGGCCAGGCCAUGCAGAACCCCAACUCUUCCCCUAAACCUUUCCAGGGCAGAGUGACCCAACGUGUUCCCUCCCUACCUGGGUUAUCCUAGGUGAUGUGGAGACUGACUUGCUCUAGGUGGGCUAGUGCCCAAGAGCCACAAUCUCCCUGUGGAGACGGUAUGUACUGCGUAGAUCUUGUUUCCUUUUUGUCCUUAUUGCCAAAUCCCCCCAAAAUUCUGUUUUGCUCAUUGUGCUGCCUUCAGCCGAGGGAGAGCAAGGACUUGCAUAAUAAGCACUUGACUCUCCUCCAAAGCCAAGGUUUGUUCCAAUGGCUUUGACUUUCAACCUCCUCACGUCUCCUUGAAAAGAUGAACCGCACUUUUGUACCACAGGACAUGCCAGGAAUAGCUCACAUCAAAUGCUUUCGGGAGGGGUGCCUAUGAGGAAGAGGCCGCAGGUCAGCCAGACAGCUCAAAGGUACCAUUAAGAUGAUGGACGCCUUUUUCCUUGGUGCUUGGGCAGGCUGCUGAGCUUCAUUACUCAUCUCUUCCGCAGGGAGGUCACCAUGCAAAGGGGGUGUCUUGUGCUCCUCUAGCCAGGAUGCAAGCCCUGGGGACCACAUUCACAUCCUUGGGAACAGAGGAUGUGGGAGCAGAACUUCAGAUGCUCUAACUCAAAGGGAGCCUGGCCGCUCAGUGUGUCCCUGCCUGAAAGCAGGGCUCAGGCUAAAUGAACACAGGCCCCUUCCAGGCCACUGUGGCAAGUCACAACCUCUCUCCCCACCACUAUCACCUCUCCCCCAUACCAGCAGAUUCUUGACAGCCUGCAACUUCCUAUCAAGGGAAAACCGCCAAAGGCAAAGCCAGAUUUCUGACCAAUUUUGAAAUGCCUGAACAGGGAAGGCAUAGUGGCUCAUGUCUAUAAUCCCAGCAUUUUAAGAGACUGGGGCAGGUGGAUCAUUUGAGGCCUGGAGUUCGGGACCAGCCUGGGCAACAGAGUGAGAUUCCAUCUCUAUGAAAAAUAAACAAAAUUAGCUGGGCAUGAUGAUGCGUGCCUGUGGUCCCAGCUAUUCAGGAGAGAAUCUCUGAGGUGGGAGAAUCACCUGAGUCCCUACCCGGAGAUCCAGGCUACAGUGAGCCAAGAUUGCGUCACUGCACUCCAGCCUGGGCAACAAAGCAAGUCCCUGCCUUUAAAAAAUGCCUAAACAUAACACACAAACAAUAGCAAUAAUAACAGCCACCAACAACACAGUCACUAUAAUGACCACGUGCUGUGUAGGGCACUUUACCCCACCUGCAAAGUACGUUUGGCCACCUCGUUUAUCCAGAGUCUUGGAGAAGUUAAAAACCUUGCUAUUUGGUUGGUAAGUGGCUGAGCUGGGAUUAGAAACGACGCUUGUCUGGUUCCCAAGCCCACCAUGCUCUUUCCAUGAGCAACUCUGCCCAUGUGAUUCAGAGGGUCAGAGUUUGUUGUGACAGAAACAGAACCCAGAGGCUGGUUUCAAGGCCGGGGAGGAGCUGGGUCAGGCCUGAGCCAAAUAACAGGGUGGGCCACCUCUGUGCCUCCCAGCUGGUGUUCCUUGGCGGGCCUCCAGGUUGGGGGCAGGGCCAGGCAGGGGUGGAGGGUUUGAAACUGGGCGUGUCCUCAGGAAGCACCCAGCCCCUCCUUCAGUGACCCUUCCGGGAGCGGGUUAGGAGCAGAGGACCUGCUGUGUUCCAGGGCUGUCUCCAAAAUAUCUUGGUAUGCCUUAGAGGAAGCCCAUGAGAAAGCCUCACCCAUUUCAUAGGUGGGGAAACAGAGGUUCAGCACGAUCACAGGACCCCAAAAGAUAUGCAGAUUCCAUCCCAGAUAUGUUGGCUCCACGGACUGCGCCUUCUCCCUGUUGCCGCCCCUCUGUGUGGAAAGAGCCUGCCUUUGACCUCGGCUGGGCUGGUAGCCAGGGCUGGGUAUCAGCUGCUUGGGGCACUGACCAAAUAGGACUACAUCCUAUCUGCCUCAUCGUAUGGGAUCACAUCUGAGCAGUUGUUAUCCAAAAGGACAACCAAUAAUUCUCUCAUUAUGCAGAAAUGGGUUUGACUGCUGGGCUGGAAAAUCCCCCCCUCCUUUGGUAUAUUAAACCCUUUCUUCUGAAAUAUUAUAAUUAUCCCUGUUUACACAAUCGACUAGCGUUGUAAGGUCUUUCUGUGUAAAUACAGCAAAGAUAAAUUUCAGCCAUACUCCCGCCUGAAUUAUUCAAAACCUGAAACGCUGAGGGGUCCGCAGCGCGAGUCGGCUUUGUGCCUUGAGUUGUGAGAGGAGGAAUACAUUACCCCUGACCUUCCCAAGAAGAACGUGAUGGUCGAGCCACGCCCACUGGGAAACAGCCCAAUGGGACAAGCCUUUCUCAGAUCCAAGCCAGCUCUGCAGCGACCAAGGCUCCCUGCCAGAGCCUGGAGAUGCGCUGCGUGCUGAGCGAGACAGGCACAGGAAAGAAUUCGCUCCUGGUCUGUGCUAGGCAUCCACAGUUUGCAGCUCAGUGCCACUCUCCACCCACCUUGUUCUCUGCCCCAGGACACAGACUUGUCUGGUCAGAACCAGCAGGCGCCCUGGCCCUCAGCCUCCCCGUUGGGUUUGGCCCUGGGAAGCCCCCGCAGGGAUGGAAAGGAGAAGAUUGAUACUGGGGUCUUUAUUUCCUUGGGGCCCUCUCCCAGCAGACCCCAAGGCUGGCAACUCUGUCCACACAGGUCGCCGCUCAACCACUCCCCAGCUUCUGGGUCUGGAUCCGCAUUGUACUGAAUGAAUCCUUUGGAAUUUUCCUCUCCUCACUGACCGGACCUCCUUCUCUUCCCCUUCUGUCUCCAUUUCACAAAAUUGUUCACAUGGUUCUGAUAGAUUAACAAAGAACUCUUUCUGCUUUUUAGACAAAGAAUAAGGAAAAUUGUCUACAGAAAUAAUUCACACAAAGGAAGUCAAGGCCAUGUUGAAAACAGCACUUAAAGGAAAAAGUACAAUUGACCAACAAUUGAAUCUUAUUAGGCUGAGACCUGCACAAUGUGACCAAAGGACAUUGGACUUGGCAUAAAUAAUGGCUAACACACACACACACUCAUGCACAAACACUCUUAAACUCACAUGCACACACCACGCAUUCAUGCACACACACAAUGCAUUCACAUACACACUCUCAAUAGCAGAAGCUAUAAUCAGUAAAAUUAUAAAUGGGCAAAACCAAUCUAUGAACUAGUUGCAAAAUUUUCUUAUAAAAAUUAAACAGAAAACUUACUUGAUGAAAAUCAUUUCAAUAAAAUAUCAAAAGAAAGCAUAACAGAAAGGGUAAUUGUACUGUACUAAAAACCCAGGAUUAAAUUAGCAUGGGAUUUGGUUUGAAAAACAGUUUCUUCACGAGAGUUCAUCCGUGUUGACAUCAUCCUAUUAAAAUAUAAAUAUUCAAGUGGUUUUAGGAUCACAGCCUUGGCAUCAAAGGAGCAGAACCAGAGGGAAUAUAGAGCACCUCAUCUCGCCCCCAACUGUGCAGGCCAAGGAAGCCAUGGGGCCCGCAGUGUCCUGCACUGCCACUUUCAGUCCCAAAACUCCACCUCAGCCCAUUUCCUGCCUCCCAGCCUGUCUCCGAUGCAGGCUGGGCCCCUGUAUGUGACCUCCUGACUCAUUUUCCCUUCUCAGCCUCCACUCAGCUUCAGCUUCCUCAUAUGCCAGAGUUCCCAGGACCUGUUGUCCCUCCUGUGAGUAUGAAUUGAGUUAUCUCUCAGCCCAUCAUUGCCCACCUCCCCAGGCCCAGACAAGCCCCAGUGACCCCUAGGUGACCUUCGCCCAGGAAGCAUGGUUUCAUCAACUUCAUCCCAGCAAGCAAAAAGGCCCCAGCCACUUAACACUGCCCCUAGAAACUUCCUGGACCUUCACACAAACACAAUCCCCAGGUUCCAUCUCAGACACCAAAGCUCUGAGGAAGGAGCCAGGCUGACUAAUUAAUUAGAACAUCAACAAUAACAAAGUGAAUGUCUUGACUACCUGCCACUUGUCAAACGUUCUCAAGAGUAUCACAUAUACAAUUUCUUUUCUUUUUUUUUUUUUUGUUUUGUUUUUUUUUUGAGACGAAGUCUUACUCUUGUCGCCCAGGCUAGAGUACAGUGGCGCGAUCUC